GAUGAACGCUGGCGGCGUGCUUAACACAUGCAAGUCGAACGGAAAGGCCCAAGCUUGCUCGGGUACUCGAGUGGCGAACGGGUGAGUAACACGUGGGUGAUCUGCCCUGCACUUCGGGAUAAGCCUGGGAAACUGGGUCUAAUACCGGAUAGGACCACUUCUUGGAUGUUGUGGUGGAAAGUUUUUUCGGUGUGGGAUGAGCUCGCGGCCUAUCAGCUUGUUGGUGGGGUAAUGGCCUACCAAGGCGUCGACGGGUAGCCGGCCUGAGAGGGUGUACGGCCACAUUGGGACUGAGAUACGGCCCAGACUCCGACGGGAGGCAGCAGUGGGGAAUAUUGCACAAUGGGCGCAAGCCUGAUGCAGCGACGCCGCGUGGGGGAUGACGGCCUUCGGGUUGUAAACUCCUUUCGCUAGGGACGAAGCGUUUUGUGACGGUACCUGGAGAAGAAGCACCGGCUAACUACGUG
rnacentral:rRNA from 1 species